rnacentral:rRNA from 1 species
UACAGAGGUGGCAAGCGUUGUUCGGAAUUACUGGGCGUAAAGGGUGCGUAGGCGGCGCGGAAAGUUGGGUGUGAAAUCCCUCGGCUCAACCGAGGAACUGCGCCCAAUACUACCGUGCUUGAGGGAGAUAGAGGUGAGCGGAACUUAGGGUGGAGCGGUGAAAUGCGUUGAUAUCCUAAGGAACACCGGUGGCGAAAGCGGCUCACUGGAUCUCUUCUGACGCUGAGGCACGAAAGCUAGGGUAGCGAACGGG